rnacentral:rRNA from 1 species
AGAGCGAACGCUGGCGGCAGGCCUAACACAUGCAAGUCGAGCGGUCGUAGCAAUACGGCAGCGGCAGACGGGAGAGUAACACGUGGGAACGCGCCCUUCGGUUCGGAAUAACUCAGGGAAACUUGGGCUAAUACCGGAUACGCCCUUACGGGGAAAGAUUUAUUGCCGAAGGAACGGCCCGCGUCCGAUUAGCUUGUUGGUGAGGUAACGGCUCACCAAGGCGACGAUCGGUAGCUGGUCUGAGAGGAUGACCAGCCUCACUGGGACUGAGACACGGCCCAGACUCCUACGGGAGGCAGCAGUGGGGAAUAUUGGACAAUGGGCGCAAGCCUGAUCCAGCCAUGCCGCGUGAGUGAUGAAGGCCUUAGGGUUGUAAAGCUCUUUAGCAGGGAAGAUAAUGACGGUACCUGCAGAAAACGCCCGGCUAACUACGCGCCAGCAGCCGAC